UAAAACUAAUAAGUUAACUUAGCUAGAAGUACAUAUAACUUUCUAGUGAGUUUUCUAGGAAAUGUGUCAUUUCUAAAAUGCUUAUAAAUAUAAAAACUACCAGUGUCUUGGAAAUGUUUCUCUCGAUGAAGUGUCUUGGUUCAAAGAAGUAGACUGUGUUAUUUAACCUGUUUUAUAUAUCCGAGUUAUUGUCUAUGUAACUUCUCCAGAACAGCAUUUUGUAUAUUUGACAGCAGGUGGCAGUAUAGGAUAAUUUGGUGGGAUACAUUUUCAAUAGGAAAUAAAUGUGCAGCUCUACAUUAAUUUACAUUUG